rnacentral:rRNA from 1 species
GUCGGGAAUUUUGCGCAAUGGGGGAAACCCUGACGCAGCAAUACCGCGUGUGGGAUGAAGGCCUUCGGGUCGUAAAUCACUUUUCUCGGGGACGAUAAUGACGGUACCCGAGGAAUAAGCCACGGCUAACUACGUGCCAGCAGCCGCGGUAAUACGUAGGUGGCAAGCGUUGUCCGGAUUUACUGGGCGUAAAGCGCGCGCAGGCGGUGAAUGAAGUCGAAAGUGAAAGCCCCGGGCUCAACUCGGGAACAGCUUUCGAAACCAGUUCACUUGAAGGUGGAAGAGGGAAGUGGAAUUCCGAGUGUAGCGGUGGAAUGCGCAGAUAUUCGGAGGAACACCAGAGGCGAAGGCGACUUCCUGGUCCAAUCUUGACGCUGAGGCGCGAAAGCUAGGGGAGCAAACAGGAUUAGAUACCCCGGUAGUCCGG